rnacentral:rRNA from 1 species
UGGGGAAUAUUGCACAAUGGGCGCAAGCCUGAUGCAGCGACGCCGCGUGGGGGAUGACGGCCUUCGGGUUGUAAACUCCUUUCGCUAGGGACGAAGCUUUUUGUGACGGUACCUAGAUAAGAAGCACCGGCCAACUACGUGCCAGCAGCCGCGGUAAUACGUAGGGUGCGAGCGUUGUCCGGGAUUACUGGGCGUAAAGGGCUCGUAGGUGGUUUGUCGCGUCGUCUGUGAAAUUCCGGGGCUUAACUCCGGGCGUGCAGGCGAUACGGGCAUAACUUGAGUACUGUAGGGGUAACUGGAAUUCCUGGUGUAGCGGUGAAAUGCGCAGAUAUCAGGAGGAACACCGAUGGCGAAGGCAGGUUACUGGGCAGUUACUGACGCUGAGGAGCGAAAGCAUGGGUAGCGAACAGG